rnacentral:lncRNA from 1 species
UGGAAAUGGGGAAUGUGCCAAAGAGACAACAACCCGACCAUAGAAAAAAACAACAGCAGAAGGUCACCAACAGGUCUUCAAUGUAGCGAGAAAUUCCCGCACCCGGAGGUGUCCUUCAGCUGGCCCCUAAACAAUUAUAUACUAGUUCAGUGAUAAUGAACGCCAUACUAAUUUCCAAAUUGUACACAAGAAACUAAAAUUAAAAUAAUACAAGACUAACAAAGGCCAGAGGCUCCUGACUUGGGACAGGCGCAAAAAUGCGGCGGGGUUAAACAUGUUUGUGAGAUCUCAACCCUCCCCCUAUACCUCUAGCCAAUGUAGAAAAGUAAACGCAUAACAAUACGCACAUUAAAAUUCAGUCCAAGAGAAGUCUGAGUCUGAUGUCAGAAGAUGUAACCAAAGAAAAUAAACAAAAUGACAAUAAUACAUAAAUAACAGCAUUAUUUAAUUUAUUUAAUUGUUCUCUGUAUUCUGUCAUAUUUGUCAUAUAUGUAUAUAUGUUUUAUGCUAAAGCAAUUUGUUGCUAAUGCAAUAAAGAUUCAUUCAAUGAUGGCUACAUGAAAAUUUAUUAGGUACAAUUUAAAGGCUACAUAAACAUUAAAUAUUGAGGCCAAAGUUAGUUUUCAAAGCUUAUUGUAUUCUUGCAUGUACCCGAUGUACCCAUGGUGUUUUUAAAAAAGCUCUAAAUUUCCAAUCUUGUAACAUUACUGAAUAACAUAAUAUUACCAGACAAUUUUAAAAAUAAACUAGUUUCCUUUCGGUGACAUAAUUCAUUUUUUUAAAACAUUGCACUACUAAUUGUAUAAAGUUUCAAAAGUAAGCAAAUUAUUAGACUCUUUAUCCUGUCGACUUUAAUGUCAGUUUAUAAUAUAAAAAUUAAAUGUGUUUACUAUAGUUUUGACUAGUGAUGAAAUUAACUGUGUGAAACUGCUUAUUGUUUUUAGUUUUAAUCUUGUUAUUAUUAAUUUCUAAUAGAUCUAUCAUAAAAUGACCUUUGAUAGUGUUUUUUUAAUGACGUGACAACUAGAAGGGUAAUAUGAAGAGUUAAAUAUUAAAAGUAAACCUAUUAAUUACCGGUCCGGAACAGUUACGUAACCAGUAGUAAAACGAGCUUUGUGUUAGAAAUGUUUUCUCUUGAAUAAACUAGCUAAUGCAUUUGUAAAUAAUCUUAUUGGAAUGGUAGAAGAGCAUAUAGUGAAAAGGUAAUUUUACAUACCCCUUAACAUAAUACUAGCAGACUAUAAGAUAAACGUCCGAUACGUAAAUAUUAAAUUAAAAUAAAAAGCAGACAAAAGUACCACAAAAUACAUAAACACGUCACAUAUUCAAUUAGACAGCAAUCAAACGAUAUAAUUCACAAAUUUUAAUCAACAGAACAUUGGUUAAUUUUCAUGACUAGAAUGGUGUCCUUACAGUUACUUUAUAUGACUAUUUCUUAAACUAAUUGACAAACCGAAUGGUCGGAACUCGAAAGUUAUUAGUUUAUAAAUAGUUAUCAAAGGUACCAGGAUUAUAAUUUAGUACGCCAGACGCGCGUUUCGUCUACAUAAGACUCAUCAGUGACGCUCACAUCCAAAUAUGUAUAAAGCCAAACAAGUACAAAGUUGAAGAGCAUUAAGGAUCCAAAAUUCCAAAAAGUUGUGCCAAAUACAGCUAAGGUAAUCUAUGCCUGGGAUAAGAAAAUCCUUAGUUUUUUCGAAAAAAUCAUAGUUUUGUAAACAGGAAAUUUAUAAAAAUGACCACAUUAUUGAUAUCCAUGUCAACACCGAAGUGUUGACUACUGGGCUGGUGAUACCCUCGGGGACGAAACUUUAUGAACUUAGAAUUCGAUGUAAAAACAUGUAUUCGCUAGAGAUUACAAGAAAACAAUAUGGCUGUAUAAUAUCCAAGCCGCCAAAAACUAAGAAUAAUACAUGACGUAUGAUCCCGAAACAGAUACAUGGAGGAUUCUUCAUAAAUAUUAUUUAAGGAAUGACUGUAAUAUUGUUUCUGUCUAUGAAGAAAUAACAUAAAAAAUGUGGUGCACACUGAAUAACGCGCGUAGCGGGUUAUUUAACAGUGUGCACCACAUUUUUUAUGUUAUUUCGAAUAGACAGAAAAAAAUAUAACAGUCAUUUCUUAUAAUUUAAUUCUAAAUUCAAUUUUAGAAAACCAUGAAAAAACGUUGAUGACGUCACGGUCACAUGACUAAAUUAUGUCUAUGGGCUCAUAACAAAAUAACGUCAGCCAAUCAGAAGACGCGUUACAUCCAAAAUUAAAUUAUAUCAAUAUGUAGUACAAAAUUCAUCAUAACAUUUCCGAAAGCAAAUAACAUGCAUCACUAUAAUAUUCAAAUAGUUAUCAAAGGUACAAGGAUUACAAUUUAGCACGCCAGACGCGCGUUUCGUCAAAACUAGCAGAUAUGAUUUAUAUCAGAACAAGUCUUAAAGAAGGGAUUACUUCUUUUGAACGUUUUGAUUCAAGCUCGACUGUAAGCUGAACGUGCGUCUGACGAAGUAAACUUAUAAGCCUGAUUAAAAAAAAUGAAAACGAAACAACACAUUUGGAGGGGCACUUUUUACACCCAAGUUUUCUAUCAUAUCUUUUUAUUUUUCUUCUUUAAUGAGUUCAACAUCCUUUGAAACGGAAAUGUUGUGAAUUUCAGAUCAUUUUGAGCAUUUUUUACACAUGCAAGAGCCCUCAAAUUUGGCCCUCAUUAAUCACAAUGGAAAUGUCACAAAUUUGUCUUUAAUUAGUACAAGUAGUACAUUUUUGAAUUUUGUAUACCUGUAAUUUGCUAUUUCCCACAUAAUUCCCUGGAAUUGACACCUGCACAUUAAUACAUGUAAGUCGAUAUACAAUAAUUGUGUACAUUGAUAGUUGGUUGAUUUAUGUAGUCUAACACCACCUUUAACACUUUAAAUUGCCUAUAUAAUGGUUGGGGCCCUUUCUAGCUUGCUGUUCGUUGCAAGCCAAGGCCCCGUAUUGAAGGCUGUACUUUGACCUAUAAGUAUUGAGGGGGGCAAGGGGGGUCCCAAUAACAGCAAAACAGCAAAUUGAUUUGGCUCAUAACAGAUAACAAGGAAUUAAAAUGGACAAAAACAGAUAACAGUAAAUGAAAUAUUAAAAUAAUUCGGUCUUUGACAAAUCAGUAUUUCUUAUUACGGAUAUAAUCCUUUGUAAUGCAUUCCAUUUUCUAUGACUAUGUUUUUAGUAUUAAUUUAUGUAUCUAGAAUGUGUUUAAAUUAC